rnacentral:rRNA from 1 species
UACGAAGGGGGCUAGCGUUGCUCGGAAUCACUGGGCGUAAAGCGCACGUAGGCGGCUUUUAAGUCAGGGGUGAAAUCCUGGAGCUCAACUCCAGAACUGCCUUGAUACUGAGAAGCUGAGUCCGGGAGAGGUGAGUGGAACUGCGAGUGUAGAGGUGAAAUUCGUAGAUAUUCGCAAGAACACCAGUGGCGAAGGCGGCUCA